GACGAACGCUGGCGGCGUGCUUAACACAUGCAAGUCGAGCGGUAAGGCCCUUUCGGGGGUACGACGAGCGGCGAACGGGUGAGUAACACGUGGGUGACCUGCCCUCAGCUCUGGGAUAAGCCUGGGAAACCGGGUCUAAUACCGGAUAUGACUCCAUGACGCAUGUUGUGGGGUGGAAAGCCUUGUGCGGCUGAGGAUGGGCCCGCGGCCUAUCAGCUUGUUGGUGGGGUGAUGGCCUACCAAGGCGACGACGGGUAGCCGGCC
rnacentral:rRNA from 1 species